rnacentral:lncRNA from 1 species
CAUCUUUAAACUUCAGUAAAUGCAUUGUGUGCUUGGGAGUCCACUCAUUCUCUUCUCCUCAACUUAAAAAAUUCUAUCUGUUCUUCAAGAACUGGCUAUUCCAUGAAGCUGUCCGUGUUUGUUUUGGUUCUUGCUGAUCUAUUUCCCAGUUGUUCAAACUUUUCCAACACUUAAACAGUCUGCUGUAUAUUUAGACACUGAUUUUGUGUCAUUUGUGUCUUCAUUACUUAAUGGGUUCAUUAUGUAGAUUAUGACAGCAGAGAUCUCUUUCAAACCCUGCUGAGUGACUGGAACUACAGGUGCAAAUGGCCAUGCCUGGCUAAUUUUUGUAUUUUUUAUGUAGAUAGGCUCUCACUACAUUGCCCAGGCUGGUCUUGAACUCCUGGGCUCAAGCAAUCCUCCUGCCUUGGCCUCCAGAACUGUUGGGAUUACAAGCAUGAGCCAACACACCUGGCCAGCAUAUUUUUAAUAAAUAGCAGUCUGUGUUCCCACUGCAGACAACUGAACCAGAGUUUCUAAGGAUGGGGCAAGGGCUUGGGUAUUUUGUAACCAUGUUGUGGUUAUGCUUAUAUGCAGCCCAGGUUGAAAAGCAUGACGUAGUUCUUGCACAUCAAAGAUUUUUAUUUUGAUUUUUUUCUUUUUGUAUUCUUUUCAACAUUGUAUUAACAUACAGUGCACAUCUAAGAUUUAAAGAUCUUCUGAGACCUGUUACCUUAAACUUUUGCUCCAUUUAGUAAAGCUCCUUCUUCCAGCCAGCUUGUUUCAGAAACUACACAAAUCAUGAAUUAGAACAAAAACAUGUAUACAAAACCUUUGAUUGUUAGUUGGAUAUCUUUGCUAUUUCAUUAUUUACUAGGCGUUGUAUGGCUUUUAGUGUGCUCAUUUUACCCUUGUGCUUAUGUCUGAUCAGCUAUUUGACAGCAGAUACUCUUCUAGAUUUGAAAUUUCUUUCAAUCUUCCAUAGAUUUGAAGUUUCUUAACCUCAAAACUCUAUUUUAGCUCCAACUAGUAUUAUUUUAAAAUAGGUGGUUUAGCAACACAUAUAUCCAAAAAUGGUUAGAUUCUCCAGAUAUCCAGAAUCUAAACCAUCAUCAGAGUAAAAAGGUAAGAAUAUACUUCAAAGUUUUCUCAAGACAAUCCUGGCCAGAAUGCUUAAGUUUGAGUAGUCAAAUACUUAACAAAAUGAAUAUAAAAAAUUUAGCACUAGCAACUAAUCAACAAACAUGAAUAUAAAUGCUUUAGUAUGAAGAAGCCAUUGAUAGUUGUAAUAACUUUGCAUUGUUAAUUGGUAUCUUACAAAUUACAACUUAUGCAAACAAAAUUAUGUUGGUCUAUAAAUAUUGGUUAAAUGAACAUGUUUCCUGUACAUUUAUAAAUUCUCCAUAUGAAAAAUACUCAUCUGAAAUGCUAAAAGCAAAAAUGUUAUCAGUAGAAAAGCAGCUAUUUUAUGACUUUUUAAAGCAAGUUAUGUCUGUUAUUUUUCACCUGUUUCAAAGGAAUGCAUAAGAUGCUUUUAUAAGUGUUUUUGUUCAUGUAUAACAUACUUAGCACUUACUACAGAUGAAUGCUGUAGACUACUUAAUUUCAAAUGCCUACAUUUUCAAAACAAUGAAGACAUAUUACUGACCAUAAAAUGGAAAUAGCAACCAUUCAAAAUAGUUGAACAUUUAUUGUGUCAUUUACUCUACGGAGGCAAUCUCAUUAUUAAAGAAGUUAUAGCCAGUUUAUGUGCAUAUGUAGGUGCAAGUAUCUAUAAUGUACAUUAUAAUUUGUAACUAUCAAAUAUGUAAGUGUAAUGAAUAUCGGUUUAUUUUGAAUACAAGCUUAUAUAAAACAAAGA